rnacentral:rRNA from 1 species
CUGUGUGUUGUUGGGUAGGGGAGCGUUCUGUAAGCCUGUGAAGGUGGCCUGUGAGGGUUGCUGGAGGUAUCAGAAGUGCGAAUGCUGACAUAAGUAACGAUAAAGCGGGUGAAAAGCCCGCUCGCCGGAAGACCAAGGGUUCCUGUCCAACGUUAAUCGGGGCAGGGUGAGUCGACCCCUAAGGCGAGGCCGAAAGGCGUAGUCGAUGGGAAACGGGUUAAUAUUCCCGUACUUGGUGUUACUGCGAAGGGGGGACGGAGAAGGCUAUGUUGGCCGGGCGACGGUUGUCCCGGUUUAAGCGUGUAGGUGUGUGUUCCAGGUAAAUCCGGUUCACUUUAACACUGAGGCGUGACGACGAGGCACUACGGUGCUGAAGCAACAAAUGCCCUGCUUCCAGGAAAAGCCUCUAAGCAUCAGGUAACAUCAAAUCGUACCCCAAACCGACACAGGUGGUCAGGUAGAGAAUACCAAGGCGCUUGAGAGAACUCGGGUGAAGGAACUAGGCAAAAUGGUGCCGUAACUUCGGGAGAAGGCACGCUGACACGUAGGUGAAGUGAUUUACUCACGGAGCUGAAGUCAGUCGAAGAUACCAGCUGGCUGCAACUGUUUAUUAAAAACACAGCACUGUGCAAACACGAAAGUGGACGUAUACGGUGUGACGCCUGCCCGGUGCCGGAAGGUUAAUUGAUGGGGUCAGCGCAAGCGAAGCUCCUGAUCGAAGCCCCGGUAAACGGCGGCCGUAACUAUAACGGUCCUAAGGUAGCGAAAUUCCUUGUCGGGUAAGUUCCGACCUGCACGAAUGGCGUAAUGAUGGCCAGGCUGUCUCCACCCGAGACUCAGUGAAAUUGAACUCGCUGUGAAGAUGCAGUGUACCCGCGGCAAGACGGAAAGACCCCGUGAACCUUUACUAUAGCUUGACACUGAACAUUGAGCCUUGAUGUGUAGGAUAGGUGGGAGGCUUUGAAGCGUGGACGCCAGUCUGCGUGGAGCCGACCUUGAAAUACCACCCUUUAAUGUUUGAUGUUCUAACGUGGACCCGUGAUCCGGGUUGCGGACAGUGUCUGGUGGGUAGUUUGACUGGGGCGGUCUCCUCCUAAAGAGUAACGGAGGAGCACGAAGGUUGGCUAAUCCUGGUCGGACAUCAGGAGGUUAGUGCAAUGGCAUAAGCCAGCUUGACUGCGAGCGUGACGGCGCGAGCAGGUGCGAAAGCAGGUCAUAGUGAUCCGGUGGUUCUGAAUGGAAGGGCCAUCGCUCAACGGAUAAAAGGUACUCCGGGGAUAACAGGCUGAUACCGCCCAAGAGUUCAUAUCGACGGCGGUGUUUGGCACCUCGAUGUCGGCUCAUCACAUCCUGGGGCUGAAGUAGGUCCCAAGGGUAUGGCUGUUCGCCAUUUAAAGUGGUACGCGAGCUGGGUUUAGAACGUCGUGAGACAGUUCGGUCCCUAUCUGCCGUGGGCGCUGGAGAACUGAGGGGGGCUGCUCCUAGUACGAGAGGACCGGAGUGGACGCAUCACUGGUGUUCGGGUUGUCAUGCCAAUGGCACUGCCCGGUAGCUAAAUGCGGAAGAGAUAAGUGCUGAAAGCAUCUAAGCACGAAACUUGCCCCGAGAUGAGUUCUCCCUGAGACUUAAAGUCUCCUGAAGGAACGUUGAAGACGACGACGUUGAUAGGCCGGGUGUGUAAGCGCAGCGAUGCGUUGAGCUAACCGGUACUAAUGAACCGUGAGGCUUAACCUUAC